rnacentral:rRNA from 1 species
UACGGGGGGGGCAAGCGUUGUUCGGAAUUACUGGGCGUAAAGGGCUCGUAGGUGGCCAACUAAGUCAGACGUGAAAUCCCUCGGCUUAACCGGGGAACUGCGUCUGAUACUGGAUGGCUUGAGUUCGGGAGAGGGAUGCAGAAUUCCAGGUGUAGCGGUGAAAUGCGUAGAUAUCUGGAGGAAUACCGGUGGCGAAGGCGGCAUCCUGGACCGACAUUGACGCUGAACGGCGAAAGCUAGGGGAGCAAACGGG